ACAGGAGAAUAAAACCAGAGCGGUACAGGAGGAUAAAACCAGAGCGGUACAGGAGGAUAAAACCAAAGCGGUACAGGAGGAUAAAACAGAGUGGUACAGGAGGAUAAAACCAGAGUGGUACAGGAGGAUAAAACCAGAGCGGUACAGGAGGAUAAAACAGAGUGGUACAGGAGGAUAAAACAGAGUGGUACAGGAGGAUAAAACAGAGCGGUACAGGAGGAUAAAACAGAGUGGUACAGGAGGAUAAAACAGAGCGGUACAGGAGGAUAAAACAGAGUGGUACAGGAGGAUAAAACAGAGUGGUACAGGAGGAUAAAACAGAGUGGUACAGGAGGAUAAAACAGAGUGGUAGAGGAGGAUAAAACAGAGUGGUAGAGGAGGAUAAAACAGAGCGGUACAGGAGGAUAAAACAGAGCGGUACAGGAGGAUAAAACAGAGUGGUACAGGAGGAUAAAACAGAGUGGUAGAGGAGGAUAAAACAGAGUGGUACAGGAGGAUAAAACAGAGUGGUACAGGAGGAUAAAACGAGAGUGGUGCAGGAGGAUAAACCAGAGCGAUACAGGAUUAUAAAACCAGAGCGGUACAGGAUUAUAAAACCAGAGCGGUACAGGAGGAAAGAGAAGAAAGUGGGAUUUUACACAAAAAGAAAGAGGAUGGAGAGAGGACAGGAAUUCAGUUUCGAAGGAUUCUCAUAACACAACUGAAAAGGGAAGAAGUAAUUUAAUUUACUCCACUUCAAAUAUAAACCAGUUUCCCUCCGGUGCAUGAUCACAUGGCGUAUGGCCCAAAUGGCACGCUAUUCACUAUAUAUAGUGCACUCAUUUUGAACAGGGCCCAUUAGGGCUCUGGCCAAAAGUAGUGUACUAUAUAGGGAAUGGGGUGCCAUCUGGGACACAGCCUUUGUAUUUCAACAGUAUCACUGUAUUGUUAGUCAGCUGUGUUGUCAUGGUUCCUAGCUCAGGUGUUUUGAGUGGCCUACAUUUUAUGUUGUUUUUUUUGUAAGGAAUUUAUUCAAAUCAAUGAUUUUGAAAAAGUUGAAUUAUAGUCAUGAAUAAAUAAAUUGAUUGUAAUUGUUUUUUAUGACUGUUUUGAAGGUGUUUUCUGAGUAUAAAGCUGGUUUUGUGCCUCUUGA